rnacentral:lncRNA from 1 species
GCUCCCGAAGUAGGCCUGGCCCACAAUUAUUUUUAAGGCCUAUAUAAUUUCUGGUUGGGAGUUCCUGAAAACUGUCAGAAGGUGCACGGUUAUACGUGAACUGUGCACUACUGUAUUUACCAUUUCAAACACGCAGAGUCUGAUCUACAGUAGGUGGAGUGUCUGCUCGGCACCACCCACCAGACGGUGUGAUGCUGCGUACCUAAAGGUCCACAUGUCAAAUGCACAUCCUCAUUCAGAGUCACCACCACCGCCACAAAAAGUUUUAAUGUGACCCAUCAAGUUUCCAUUUUUGCCCUGGCUUGCAAGGAGCCUAGAGCUAUGUUUUGUCUUUAGCCAGGUUUUCUAAUACAGCCAGGCUCCUCCCUAUACCUACCACAUUUAUUAUUUCUCUGUCUUCUUUUAAAUCCUGUUCUAAUAGCUUUUCAUUUAGUUAGAGCUAUGACUUUACCUAUAUGCAGUUUCAAAACCGUUUUGGAAGGCAACAGGAUACAUGCUAGUUAUCUAUUGCUAUGUAACAAAUCAAAACGUAGAAAUUUAAAAUAACAAUACACAUUUAAUAUAUCUCACAGUCUUGGGGGGUCAGAAAUUCAGGAACAUUCUGGCUUGGAGUCUUUCAAGAGGUUGCAGUUGAGACAUCAGCCAGAGCCACAGCCAUUUGCAAGCUUGACUGGGGCUGGAGGGUCUUCUUCCCGGAUGGUUGGCAAGUUGGUGCCAGCUGUUGGCGGGACCUUAGAUGCUCCCCGUAUGGGCCUCUCUGCAGGCAGCUUGAGUGCCCUCGUGACAGGCAGCCCCUGCGGCAGACAAUCCAAGGGAGAACAAAGCAGAAACCACAGUGACACACACUUGCACUUCAGCCACAUUCUAAUCAUUAGAAGCGAGUCACUAAGUUCAGCCAAAUCGAA